rnacentral:rRNA from 1 species
UACGUAGGCAGCAAGCGUUGUUCGGAAUUACUGGGCGUAAAGAGCGCGCAGGCGGUCGUGCAAGUCGCGUGUGAAAGCCCCCGGCUCAACUGGGGAGGGUCACGCGAUACUGCUCGACUCGAAGGCAGGAGAGGGAAGUGGAAUUCCCGGUGUAGUGGUGAAAUGCGUAGAUAUCGGGAGGAACACCAGUGGCGAAGGCGACUUCCUGGCCUGUUCUUGACGCUGAGGCGCGAAAGCUAGGGUAGCAAACGGG